rnacentral:rRNA from 1 species
GACGUAGGGUGCAAGCGUUGUCCGGAAUUAUUGGGCGUAAAGAGCUCGUAGGCGGUGUGUCACGUCGGCCGUGAAAACCUGGGGCUUAACUCUGGGCGUGCGGUCGAUACGGGCAUCACUAGAGUUCGGCAGGGGAGACUGGAAUUCCUGGUGUAGCGGUGAAAUGCGCAGAUAUCAGGAGGAACACCGGUGGCGAAGGCGGGUCUCUGGGCCGAUACUGACGCUGAGGAGCGAAAGCGUGGGGAGCGAACAGG